UAGGGAAUCUUCCGCAAUGGGCGAAAGCCUGACGGAGCAACGCCGCGUGAGUGAUGAAGGUCUUCGGAUCGUAAAACUCUGUUAUCAGGGAAGAACAAAUGUGUAAGUAACUAUGCACGUCUUGACGGUACCUAAUCAGAAAGCCACGGCUAACUACGUGCCAGCAGCCGCGGUAAUACGUAGGUGGCAAGCGUUAUCCGGAAUUAUUGGGCGUAAAGCGCGCGUAGGCGGUUUUUUAAGUCUGAUGUGAAAGCCCACGGCUCAACCGUGGAGGGUCAUUGGAAACUGGAAAACUUGAGUGCAGAAGAGGAAGGUGGAAUUCCAUGUGUAGCGGUGAAAUGCGCAGAGAUAUGGAGGAACACCAGUGGCGAAGGCGACUUUCUGGUCUGUAACUGACGCUGAUGUGCGAAAGCGUGGGGAUCAAACAGG
rnacentral:rRNA from 1 species